rnacentral:rRNA from 1 species
UACAGAGACCUCAAGCGUUAUCCGGAUUUAUUGGGCGUAAAGCGUCCGCAGACGGUUUGGUACGUCUUGCGUCAAAUGUUGUGGCUUAACCACGACACUGCGUGGGAUACGGCUAGACUCGAGGUUGGGAGAGGUAAGCGGAAUUGCCGGUGUAGUAGUAAAAUGCGUUAAUAUCGGCAAGAACACCAAUUGCGAAGGCAGCUUACUGGAACAAACCUGACGUUCAUGGACGAAAGCGUGGGGAGCGAAAGGG